CUCCUCCUCGGGCCUUGCCGGGCCUCUCCCGCGUCACGUGACCGCUCGGCGCCCCGCCCGCGUGACACGCACCGCCCCCUGAGCGCCGGGGGCGAGGGCAGGGGGCGGGAGGCGCUCCUCAGGCCGGGAUCGCUUCCCCCGGGAUCCCCGGCCCUUGGGCAGCCUCCCCUGCCCCGGGCUCCCUUCCCCUUGCGGGGGUGAGGCAGGCUCCUGUUCCUCUGGACAGGCUUCUCUCGGGAGAUUCGAACUCCUCGAGCAAUGGAAUUUCUUGAAUGUCAUCAAAAGAAGUCAGACCCAGAUGUGGACUGUUCCUGCUUGAUAUUCCAGGAGUGAAGCUAGCUUUCUGUAGUUUCCCAUGCUGCAGUGAGAGAAGGAGUAAAAACUAAGGGUAAAUGUAAAUUGGACAAACUCUUUAAAUCUUCUGCAGUUAUGAAGAAACAAAGAAUGACAUCAGGCUUAAAAAUCUCUGCCUAGAUCAGCUGAGAAACCUCUUGCUAAAACCAAUGUUUUGCCCACCAAAUUUGAGAAUUGUGGUCAUUUGUAAUUGCAAAUAACCCAGCCACGCUAGUUGGGGCUCUCAAUUUUUUUAGCUUUAUUACUGGUUAUACACAGCAAGUCAGCUGUGCCUCAGCAAAACUGGAUGACAGGAAUCCACCAACUUAAAAGGAGGAUUGCAUUAUGCAUAAAAGGGAAAAACC